AUUGAACGCUGGCGGCAGGCCUAACACAUGCAAGUCGAGCGAGCGGCGGACGGGUGAGUAAUGUCUGGGAAACUGCCUGAUGGAGGGGGAUAACUACUGGAAACGGUAGCUAAUACCGCAUACCAUCAGAUGUGCCCAGAGGGGAUUAGCUAGUAGGUGGGGUAAUGGCUCACGUAGGCGACGAUCCCUAGCUGGUCUGAGAGGAUGACCAGCCGAACUGGAACUGAGACACGGUCCAGACUCCUACGGGAGGCAGCAGUGGGGAAUAUUGCACAAUGGGCGAAAGCCUGAUGCAGCCAUGCCGCGUGUGUGAAGAAGGCCUUCGGGUUGUAAAGCACUUUCGGCGGUGAGGCGUUACCCGCAGAAGAAGCACCGGCUAACUCCGUGCCAGCAGCCGCGGUAAUAC
rnacentral:rRNA from 1 species